CCCUCAGUUUCCUAUCUGCUAUCUCCACGGCACAUGCCCUGUAGAUAACCUCUCCUAACAAUGUCUCCCCCCCCAGCGGUAGAUACAAGCAACAAUGAAUCAAGUCUAUCAGGUGAUACACAAAUUUUGGAAGCAAGAACAUGUGAAACAAAAGAAUGUGAUGCACCAGUGUCAAACAAAACAUGAGCAAUGUGGCCAGAUAUAGUAUACAUACCAUGUACCAUGUCCGGGUCUACGUCGGCAUCCUUCUGGGUAAGGUUGUAAACUCUGCCCUGGAUUAGAGGCCUUCUUUGAUUCUGGUUCCUCGGGCAUUCCCUUACAUAGUGCUGGGCACUGCCGCAUAUGCGACAGGUGUUGUUGAGGCGGUAGCAGGGUCUGUCCCCGUGAUCCCUGCCGCAGUGCUGGCAGAUCUUUCCACGUGCUGCCCCCGUAGCCUGAGGAGGGGCCUGGAUGGCGGGUCUGGGCUUCUUACUGGGUUGGACAAGCGCGGUAGGUGCUGGCCUGCGGAGCGGGGCUGAGGGUCGGGAACUCCCCGCUAGCUGAGGGUGGGUGUCAAAGCUCCUUUCUCUGAUCUACGCCUUUGCUAGGGCUGCUGAAUAUGUCUUGAGCUCCAUUACCAGUAAGUGC
rnacentral:lncRNA from 1 species